GCUGGAUUGGUAUAAUAUACAAAAGAAACCAGCGUCUUCCAUUCAGCGUUUACUGAUUAGAUAAAACACAUUGUGCAAAUCGUUCUGAUAAUGGCAAUUAUUAUCUCCUACAACUUUAGCGCUGCACUGAAAUAGCAAAGAUUCAAUCGUUUCAGUCGUUGACUGUUUGCGGACAAGUAGAGAGCUACGUAUAGGAAAAUUGUUAGUUGAAAUGGCUUCCUCACCAUCCAUAAUCGCUAGGAAAACUAGGAAAGAAGAUUUAGCUGAAGUAUUAGCAAUGAUACAGGAACUAGCCGACUUCGAGCAUAUGUCCGAUGGACCUAAACUGACAGUGGAAGACUUGGUCAGGGACGGGGGGUUCCAGGAGGAGCAAACCGAGACGACACCAGUAUUCCAUAGCUUUGUGCUCGAGCUCAUGGAACCAGUCUGUUCAGACGGC